ensembl:lncRNA
CUCAAAAUAGUUGUUAUUGUGGCUGUGUCUGAAAUAGCAUUUAAUGAGAGCUGACUGAAGCUUCUGAAUGGCUUUAAAGUGACAUUCAGGAGAAAAAGAAGAUGCCCUGCUCUCAGCACGAAGACUGCUGUUCUACAGUGUGUUUGUUCUGUCUGUCUUGUUGUCUCGGUCUUACUCAGAACUGGUUUGUCCUGUCUAGUUUGUAAAGCUUUAACUCAUUGUAGCUGGGAUUGCAGCCAGCCUAAUGAAGUCUUUUAUGUUUCUCAGGCUCUCGUCAGCCAGUCUGCUUUCAUUAUCGCUCUCCUUUUCCACACUUUACUCUCACACCCUCCUCCUCUCUCUCACCCUUAUUUCAUCUGGAAGACUUCCUGGGAAGGAAUGCGUGUGGAAACUCCUGGAAAACGAAAGCCAUUGCAAUUCAGAAAGCAUUGCUGUCUCAGCGUGUAUACACACAUGACUCAAUGUUUUCCUCUGAGACAGGAGACAUUUGCAGUCCUGCAGCUCUACUUGCUCAGCAACAGGACAUCUUUUAACAAAUUCCGGCACAGUGGAAACUCCCAGAGGAAUUUUGAAGUCUUCAUUAAACUUUUAUAAGUCAAUGCCUCCUAACUUAAAUAUUGUGAUGGGGCUUAUUGUCUACUUCAGGGUGUUUUUGGCGAGGGUGUUGUAUCUCUCUGUAGGUUGGGUAUUUGGAGCAUUGUAUGAAUUGAAUUAGUGGAUCCAGACAACACCAGGUGCAAGGUGGGAAUCCAUCCUGGAUGAGAGUGUAGUCCAUUACUGGGCACCACACACACACACACCAAUAGCCAAUCCACCUGGCUUGUUUCAAGGAGGCAGGAGGAAACCAGGAGGAAACCCCUCACGGACAUAAGGAGAACAUGCUAAGCUCAACACGGUCAGAAACCCAUGCUCAGGAUCAAACCACGGAUGCUGGAUCUGUGAGGCGGCAACGCUACCCACUGUUCCACUGUGCUGACCUGUUCUGAUAAUUGUCUUUACAAUAUGGAAAGCGCCACUCACUUAUUGAUAAACUGCACAUUUCUGUCAGAGGCCACAUAGCUAUACAGUAUAUGGUGGUUGUGACUCAGGUGGUAGAGUGGGUUGUCCACUAAUCGUAGGGUUGGCGGUUCGAUUCCUGGCCCGCAUGACUCCACGUGCCGAAGUGUCCUUGGGCAAGACUCUGAUCCCCAAGUUGCUCCUGAUGGCAAGUUAGCAUCUUGCAUGGCAGCUCUGCUAUCGUUGGUGUGUGAGUGAAUGGGUGAAUGAUACACAGUGUAAAGCUCUUUGGAUAAGUGUGCCAUUUAUAUGACAAAUCAAGGCAAAAGGUCAAAUAUAUGUUGCAAAACAAAACCUCCAGUACAACAGAUUGUACUCAAGGAAAAUGUCAAUACAACAAUAAGGAUUGUAUUUAAUUCAAUACUCUUGUUGCAUGUACACUUCUAAUGACAAACUGUGCUGUAAAAGUCCAACCUUGAUCUGACAUAUUUAACAACAUAAACAGAUGGAACAGACAUGAGGUAAGUUCAUGCUGUUCUGAGGGUGCCCUCUAACCACAUCUCAAUAUUUCUGAGACGUGCUUCCAUAGCAACAUGCUAUGUUCUCCGUCACAUGCUCAUAAGUAGACUGUUUGGCCUUCGUCACUGAGAUGCAAUUGGCUACAAACUAAGAGCGGUGCUUCCCCUAACACUUCCUUCCUUUUCUCACUGACGUGUUUUGCAUGUACGCGUGUGAAUGUGUGAAUGUGUUUGUGUUGUAUUAGGAUUGUAAACAAAAAGCACUACCGUAGUGUACUUUGCUGACAUAGGAGACCACCACAGUCAUUAUAAUGAACUCUUAACCAGUUCUAACCAGCUAAAGUGGAUUAGUUAGAUAGUACAUCUUGUUUUUGUUUGUCAUUUUGAACCCUUGCCCUUAUGUUUGUGGUUGCAUGUCACUCUAACACUGUGUUAUAGCUUUCAAAUUUACUAUGAUUUUUAGCAUUGCUUCACCUGCAGAGAAGUGCAUGGACACUACUGAGACCAUAAAAAUCAUCUUCGUCUUUUCAUUUAGAAACUCCAACACACAUAAAACAGUCACAGAGUAACAGAAAUAUGAUACUAUGGUCAGGUGUGUGAGUGUAUGUGUACUCUCAGUCUGUCACUGAGCCAAUUACAAAAAUGUCAUCUUUGAGCUCCUAAUGAUUUUAGAACAAAGUGCUGUCAUAUGCAAUAAAAAAAUAGAGGAUGGCCUACUAUUUAAAAAAAAAAGCAGUAUAUUUUGGAGCAAUAGUUACAAGCAUAAAGUUUCGUAAAGAAAUGAUUGGCACAGAAAAAUCUAAUUACCUUGUGUAACCUCAAAAUCUUGUGUAGCUUUAGUGUUUGCAGAGGCAAAGUAAUACAAACAGAAAUGUACGCACAUUGCUUUUCCUGUCUGUUGCUGACACAUCAAGUCCAUCUACAUUUCACAUGCUGAACUGCUAACAUUUGAAUGCUAGUCUUUUUAAUAUGCAGCCACAUCAAAUGUACCAGCUGCGGAGCUUUUAUGAAAGGGUCGCAUUUGAGGAAUAGGAUAAACAGAAAACCUAACAGGCAAAUGUGCAUUUCCUGUUAUUUUAAAUAUACUACGAUUCUUUAAUAUGAGCCCAGCUUCCCAAGCACCUCAUAACUAGAGAUUCAGACAUGUGGAUACCCAUGCCUGGACAGCAUAUAUGCUGAUGAAGGUGUAGAUAGAAAAUUAUGAAAAGGUAGAACAGAGGGUUGUGAGGAUGAAUCAAAGUAUUUUCCUUUGUCUUGGUCUGUAUGUUUGUAUAUGCAAAGACUUUAUGGCUAAAACAGACUUAUACCUAUUGUUGUGUCAAUGUGCUAAUGACCCUUUUCCACAAGGGAUCAUACUCAAAAGCAUAACUGAAUGUAAAAAUCUAGAUGGAUGAGAGAAGCAAAAAUCCAGUUUAUUGUUCAAAAAACAACAAGAGAUCCAAUCAGUGAGGCGUCCCAAAGUGAUCUGAAUCUGUACACAGACUCAAUACCCUAUUUAUACAGUCUUAUCUU